rnacentral:rRNA from 1 species
UACGGGGGGGGCAAGCGUUGUUCGGAAUUACUGGGCGUAAAGGGCGCGUAGGCGGGCGACCAAGUCAGGGGUGAAAUCGUUCGGCCCAACCGGACAAGGGCCCCUGAUACUGGUUGUCUCGAGGGAGGUAGGGGUCGAUGGAACUUCCGGUGGAGCGGUGAAAUGCGUAGAUAUCGGAAGGAACGCCGGUGGCGAAAGCGAUCGACUGGACCUCUUCUGACGCUGAGGCGCGAAAGCCAGGGGAGCAAACGGG